rnacentral:rRNA from 1 species
UACGUAGGGGGCAAGCGUUGUCCGGAAUUAUUGGGCGUAAAGCGCGCGCAGGCGGUUCUUAAGUCUGGUGUCUAAGUGCGGGGCUCAACCCCGUGAUGCACUGGAAACUGGGGAACUUGAGUGCAGAAGAGGAGAGCGGAAUUCCACGUGUAGCGGUGAAAUGCGUAGAGAUGUGGAGGAACACCAGUGGCGAAGGCGGCUCUCUGGACUGUAACUGACGCUGAGGCGCGAAAAGCGUGGGGGAGCAAACAGG